AGAGACUAUACGCCAGGCCCCGGCGAAAGCCGGGUGAAGAUAUAGUCCGAACUGCAUGGCAACAUGCAGAGUCCGGCGGAAACGUCCGGGCCGCCCGAAAGGGUUAGUACCGGAGGCUGUAGGCGUCCGGGAAGCAACAGAGUGACGGUCUCUAUCUACUAUGCGCGUAGGAAACUUGAGAGGAUCUGACCAUAGUACGAGAGGACCUGGUUGGACGAACCUCCCGUGUCCCAGUUGUCCUGCCAAGGGCAGCGCUGGUUAGCGGUGUUCGGAUGGGAUAAACGCUGAAAGCAUCUAAGCGUGAAACCCACCUCAAGAUUAGGUUUCCCCUCUAAGAUGGGCAACCAUCGAAGACUAAAGGCCACGAGAAGACUACUCGUUUGAUAGGCUGGACGUGUAAGCGCCGUAAGGUGUUGAGCGAACCAGUACUAAUCGGCCGUGAGGCUUGACCAU
rnacentral:ncRNA from 1 species